rnacentral:rRNA from 1 species
UACAGGGGGGGCAAGCGUUGUUCGGAAUUACUGGGCGUAAAGGGUUUGUAGGUGGCUUGCUAAGUCAGACGUGAAAUCCCUCAGCUUAACUGGGGAACUGCGUCUGAUACUGGCGAGCUUGAGUGCAGGAGAGGAACGCGGAAUUCCAGGUGUAGCGGUGAAAUGCGUAGAUAUCUGGAGGAACACCAAUGGCGAAGGCAGCUCGCUGGGACGGUACUGACGCUGAGACGCGAAAGCGUGGGGAGCAAACAGG